CCCUUAGAUGUUCUGGGCCGCACGCGUGCUACACUGAGUGGAUCAGCGGGUCAGGUUGCGCGAAAGUGUUUCCUAAUCUUUAAAUCCGCUCGUGAUGGGGAUUGACGGUUGCAAUUUUCCGUCAUGAACGAGGAAUACCUUGUAAGCGCGGGUCAUCAUCCCGCGCUGAAUACGUCCCUGCCCUUUGUACACACCGCCCGUCGCUCCUACCGAUUGAGUGGUCCGGUGAGGCUUUGGGAUCUGAGCGAAAAGAGCGUUUCGCUGUUUCUGCCCGGAAAACUCAGUCGAACCUUAUCAUUUAGAGGAAGGAGAAGUCGUAACA
rnacentral:rRNA from 1 species